UCUGGCAGGAGACAUGACUAGUGGUGCCAUCUUUGUUCUGUCCUUCCCUUCUGCUCAGAACAUGGAUCUGAUGCUUGGCAGCAGCAGCAGCACCGUCCUGAUGAUAAGGGCAAGCAAAGACAACUGUAGAGACACUGGUGCCGGUGACAUUAAGUCCUCCGUGUCCGGUGGAAAAACCCUCUUAAAGAAUGCAGAUGCCCAAGGAGAGGAAACCUUUUAUGCAUACCUUGUCAUUUAUCGGCAUUGAUGACUGGCUUGCUGAGAGGCAGUUUUCAUUGAGCAAUCACUGAGAGGAACCAACGUCUGCCCAGAGAAAGCAGUAGAAGAGAUCCAGAGCUACUACCUCUUAGUGGCACUGAUCCACAGGGCUCUGGGUUGAUUUGGAAUGAGCUGUGACUCCUGAAGAAUUCUCAUAGAUUCCUGCCUGGGCGGGAGUGGGAGGCAGGAUAAUGUCCAUACCCAUGUUCUAAUCCCUGGACCUGUUAAUAUAUCACAUUACAUGGCCAAGGGGAAUUAAGGUAGCAGAGGAAUUAAGGUAGCUAAUUAGCUAGCUUGAUGAUAGGGAGAUUAUCCUGAAUUAUCUGGAUGACCCCAAUGACAUCACAGGAUCCUUCAAAGAAAAAAAUGAAGGCAAAAGAAGGAGAUAGAGAAUUGGAAGGAGAUGGGAAGACAGUACCAGGUAGAAAUGAUCUAAGGCUCAAGACCAUUGCUAGUUUGAAGGUGGAAGAACGGCUCACAGUUAAGGAAUGCGCAUGACCUCCAAAGCUGGAAAAGGCAAGGAAAUGGAUUCUCCCCUCCAGACAGGAAUGCAGCCUGACCCACAGCUUGUUUUCAGGCCAGUGAGACCCAUGUCAGACUUCUGUCCUGGAGAACUGGAGGCUAAUAAAUUUGUGUUGUUUUAAGUCAUUAUGUUUGUGGUAAAAAUAUUUAUUCAUUAAUUGAUUCCCUUAUUCAUUCAGCAAAUAUUACUGAGCUUCUACUUUGAGUUGAGCACUUUUAUAGAUGUUGGGGAUAUAGUAAGAAUAAAACAGAUUUAAAGUAACCUCUAUGGAGUGCCUGGAUGGCUCGGUUGUUAAGAGUCUGCCUUUGGCUCAAGUCAUGAUCCCUGGGUCCUGGGAUCAAGCCCAAGCCUGGCAUCAGGCUCUCCGCUCAGCAGGGAGUCUGCUUCUCCCUCCCCCUCUGCCCACUCCCCCAGCUUGCGCUUGCUCUCUUUUGCUCUAUUUCAAAUAAAUAAAUAACUUUUUAAAAAAAGAUUUUAUUUAUUUAUUUGACUAAUAGAGAGUGCAAGCAGGGGGAAUGGCAGGCAGAAGGAGAGAGAGAGGGAGAAGCAGACUCCCCACAGAGCAGGGAGCCUCCAAUGUGGGGCUCCAUCCCAGGACCCCAGGAUCAUGAUCUGAGCCAAAGGCAGACGCUUACCCGACUGAGCCACCCAGGCACCCCUAAAAUCUUAAGAACAAAGCAAAACAAAACAAACAUCACCUCUACUCUCACAAAAGCUUUCUAUUUAUUAGAGGAGAAGCGGUUUGUUUGUGUGUUUGUUUUAAUUAAGUGAAACCUACUGGUAUUAUGUAGUUUAGAGGCCAGAAGUGCUAUUGUGGAAGAAUAAAAAAGUGAAGGAGAGCAGGGAGAAGUGGGGAGGGGGUUGCCAUGAAGGUAACACCGCCAAGUUAUGUUUGAGCCCAGUUGGCUACGUGGGGGAGGAACCUUCCAGGCGGAGUGGCAGCAGGUACAAAGCCCAGAGAUGAGGGUGUGCCAGGGUGGUCCAGCAGGAGCAAGGAAGCCCGUGUGCCUGGAGCUGAGGGCGUGAGGACAAGGACGAUAAAAUCAGAGAGUCUGUGGAGCUGGCUUUAGAGAGGCCACCGGAAACCUCUGGCAUUUACCCUGAGUCUGGGAGCCCUCAUCUUCACCUGAGAAGGAUGGCUCUUGUGGCUGGUACCUAGCAGGCUGCUA
rnacentral:lncRNA from 1 species